UACAGAGGUCCCAAGCGUUGUUCGGAUUCAUUGGGCGUAAAGGGUGCGUAGGCGGCGCGGUAAGUCGGGUGUGAAAUCUCGGGGCUUAACUCCGAAACUGCAUUCGACGUACUGCCGUGCUUGAGGACUGGAGAGGAGACUGGAAUUACGGUGUAGCGGUGAAAUGCGUAGAUAUCGUAAGGAAGACCAGUGGCGAAGGCGGGUCUCUGGACAGUUCCUGACGCUGAGGCACGAAGGCCAGGGAGCAAACGGG
rnacentral:rRNA from 1 species